rnacentral:lncRNA from 1 species
AUUUCUUUUUCUUCUUCUUCUUCUCUCUAUCUCGAUCUUCCUCUUUUUUUUUCAUGUCGCUAUUCCUUACUCAUUGAGCUGUUGACUUAAAGGAAUCAGUAUCUUGCCCUAUGGCAGAAGGUUAGGUUGAGUCGAGUCAUAUUUAAAACGAUGAAGGCCGGGUUGGACUGAGUUAGUUGAAGUGGUGUGACUAGUUGGGCUGAGUCAGAAUCAGGAUCCAUGGAUUCUGUGUCUGUAUGUUUUAAGUGAAUUGGUUGCAUAUUUCUAAUAACUCAAACUUUUGGGUUUAAUGGUUAGUAUCGCCAAUCCGACACGAGCUG